rnacentral:snRNA from 1 species
GUGCUCGCUUUGGCAGCACAUAUACUGAAAUUGGAAUGAUUCAGAGAAGAUUAGCAUGGCCCCUGUGCAAGGAUGACAUGCAAAUUUGUGAAGUAUUCCUUUAAAAA